CAGUAGCCGCGGGAAUACAGAGGGUGCGAGCGUUAAUCGGAUUUACUGGGCGUAAAGCGUGCGUAGGCGGCUUUUUAAGUCGGAUGUGAAAUCCCUGAGCUUAACUUAGGAAUUGCAUUCGAUACUGGGAAGCUAGAGUAUGGGAGAGGAUGGUAGAAUUCCAGGUGUAGCGGUGAAAUGCGUAGAGAUCUGGAGGAAUACCGAUGGCGAAGGCAGCCAUCUGGCCUAAUACUGACGCUGAGGUACGAAAGCAUGGGGAGCAAACAGGAUUAGAUACCCGUGUAGUCCCUGUCUCUUAUAU
rnacentral:rRNA from 1 species